CGCGAGUACUGGUCCGGCUGGGUCUUUCCCUUCUGGGGAACCCCAUGGCCUUCACUGGCUGUGGGGGGAACCAGGACUUUUACUGUGAAAAAAUUAGAGUGUUCAAAGCAGGCCUUUGCUCGAAUACAUUAGCAUGGAAUAAUAGAAUAGGACGUGCGGUUCUAUUUUGUUGGUUUCUAGGACCGCCGUAAUGAUUAAUAGGGAUAGUCGGGGGCGUCAGUAUUCAGCUGUCAGAGGUGAAAUUCUUGGAUUUGCUGAAGACUAACUACUGCGAAAGCAUUCGCCAAGGAUGUUUUCAUUAAUCAGGGAACGAAAGUUAGGGGAUCGAAGACGAUCAGAUACCGUCGUAGUCUUAACCAUAAACUAUGCCGACUAGGGAUCGGACGGUGUUUCUAUGAUGACCCGUUCGGCACCUUACGAGAAAUCAAAGUUUUUGGGUUCUGGGGGGGAGUAUGGUCGCAAGGGCUGAAACUUAAAGAAAUUGACGGAAGGGCACCACAAGGCGUGGAGCCUGCGGCUUAAUUUGACUCAACACGGGGAAACUCACCAGGUCCAGACAAAAUAAGGAUUGACAGAUUGAGAGCUCUUUCUUGAUCUUUUGGAUGGUGGUGCAUGCCCGUUUUUAGUUGGUGGAGUGAUUUGUCUGCUUAAUUGCGAUAACGAACGAGCCCUCGCCCCUUAAAUAGCCCGGUCCGCGUCUGCGGGCCGCCGGCUUCUUAGGGGGACUAUCGG
rnacentral:rRNA from 1 species